rnacentral:rRNA from 1 species
CUCGUGACACUUGAGAUGAUCCCUGAUUUGGCUCGUGGUGACAUAUUGCGAUCUUAUGGUAAGUUGAUCCUUAGCGAACGCUUGUACCAAGCGCUUCUUGAGCUUCCCAUGAACUUCAAGAAGGAAUGGUUGUUGAUGUUGGAAUAG